GAAAGUUAUCAGCUCUCAGAAGGCAGUCAGCGGAUCCUUCUUUCCAUGUAGUCAAAUGUGUGUGCUUGACUUAAAAUGUCUCCGAUAAAGAACUUUAAUCUGGUUUAUGAAUCUCUCAACGAAGAUGGCACUUUUUCUGAAGGAGAUACUAUCUCAGGCGCCGUGACUUUCACUUUGACAAAACAAACCAAAGUGAAGGGGCUGAUGGUGAAAGCCAAAGGGGACGCCAAUGUACACUGGACAGAGGGCAGCGGCGAAGACGAGACAUCGUACAGUGCGCACAAGAGAUACUUUAAACUCAAAGAGUAUCUGGUUCCAAAAAAUGCAAAUGAAGAGUGAGACACACCUCUCCUCAACUGAUGAACUGCUCUUCCCGAAGGAGUCCAUCACUUUAAGUUUAGGUUUAAAAUUCCACAAGGCGACAUGCCAUCAUCCUUCAGGGGGGCUCAUGGAAAAAUUGUCUACAUGCUUGAAGCAAAGAUGUCCAGGAGCUGGCGGUGGCCUACUGAAAUACAAACAGAGUUCAAAUUUGUUUCAAAGUCCCUUUCACACCCUGGCCACUUAAUGGUAAGUUGGACACUAGAAUGAAGCAUGUUAUGAAUUUGAUACACUAUUUACACUUUCUAGAUGAACUUCAAUAUUUGAAAGGAAAUUAUUUAAGAUACAUGACUGAAGAACCGGUCAGCUAAAAUUAAAAAAAAAGGGAUAGAGGGGUUUAGGGAAAGGCAGCAUUAACAAGUUAAGUUUGAAAACAGUUUCAUACAAAACGGCUGAAUGUUGCCCAAACAGAAGAAAAUGCUCUUUUGAAUAAAAAUGAAAUGGAGUAAGGUCUGCUACAAUGGCGCGCCCGUCCAAGUGGAUAGUGGUGAUGUCACACCCGCCGCAACCAACCCCUGAUCAUCCCCUUCACCCCCUAUAUUCCUGUCAAACCAGCAUGUGUUGCAAUACUCAGCUGGUGUCUGCACAGAAAACCAGAGAGAAAGAUGUUUUACAAAAGUCUGUGUAGGUGCAUUUUCUGACGCAACCCCCGGACAAAUUUGUAUAAAAGUAACAGCUAAACU